AGUAACGACGUGGGUAACCGUAGCCGCAUGCAGGGGACGAACAGUUGGAGACGACUGCUAAUACCGCAUAAGCGCACGGGACCGCAUGGUCCAGUGUGAAAAGAUUUAUCGGCAUGCGAUGGACCCGCGUCCGAUUAGCCAGUUGGCGGGGUAACGGCCCACCCAAAGCUACGAUCGGUAGCCGGCCUGAGAGGGUGAACGGCCACAUUGGGACUGAGACACGGCCCAAACUCCUACGGGAGGCAGCAGUGGGGAAUAUUGCACAAUGGGGGAAACCCUGAUGCAGCGACGCCGCGUGAGUGAUGAAGUAUUUCGGUACGUAAAGCUCUAUCAGCAGGAAAGAAAAUGACGGUACCUGACUAAGAAGCCCCGGCUAACUACGUGCCAGCCGCGGC
rnacentral:rRNA from 1 species